GUACGAAAACUCUCCAAUGCGCGAAAGCGUGAGAGGGGAAUCCCAAGUGCUCGUACACAGUACGAGCUUUUGCCAAGGGUAAAAACCUUGGAGAAUAAGUGGUGGGCAAGACCGGUGCCAGCCGCCGCGGUAACACCGGCGCCACGAGUGGGAGUCGCGAUUAUUGGGCCUAAAGCGUCCGUAGCCGGCCGAGUAAAUUCUUUGUGAAAUCGUUAGGCUUAACUUAACGGCGUGCAGAGAACACUGCUUGGCUUGGAACCGGGAGGGGUCUGGGGUAUUCCUUGGGGAGCGGUAAAAUGCUAUAAUCCUUGGAAGACCACCUGUGGCGAAGGCGCCAGACCAGAACGGCUUCGACGGUGAGGGACGAAAGCUGGGGGAGCGAUCCGG
rnacentral:rRNA from 1 species